ensembl:snoRNA small nucleolar RNA, C/D box 114-31
UGGAUAAACAAUGAUGACUUGUGGUAUGAGUCUUUGAUGAGGAACACUACGGGUCUGGAGUUCUGAGGCCCAA